rnacentral:lncRNA from 1 species
AACAGGGUUGGGCUGGUUCUUCCUUCUGUGAGGAUUUCACAAAUGUAAUGCCUCUACUAAAACUUGAAGCAUUACUAGUGCUAGUUUCCUUUAUCUUUUCCACACAUGGCUCUGAGAUGGAUUCCCCAAAGCCUAAGCCUGUUCUGUUAAAUGCACUUCUCUGACUAGAGAGCAGGGAGUCCAUGGAUAAUGAGGAUUUGUUCCAUGUAGAGAUAGUCUUUUCUAGUUUCUCAAUUUUAGAGGUUAAACUUGACUCUCUUUGUGCAUUGAGCUCAUUGGUCUGUUUUAAGAACUUAUUCU